rnacentral:rRNA from 1 species
GGGAGCUUGCUCCCUGAUUUAGCGGCGGACGGGAGAGUAAUGCCUAGGAAUCUGCCUGGUAGUGGGGGAUAACGUUCCGAAAGGAACGCUAAUACCGCGUACGUCCUACGGGAGAAAGCAGGGGACCUUCGGGCCUUGCGCUAUCAGAUGAGCCUAGGUCGGAUUAGCUAGUUGGUGAGGUAAUGGCUCACCAAGGCGACGAUCCGUAACUGGUCUGAGAGGAUGAUCAGUCACACUGGAACUGAGACACGGUCCAGACUCCUACGGGAGGCAGCAGUGGGGAAUAUUGGACAAUGGGCGAAAGCCUGAUCCAGCCAUGCCGCGUGUGUGAAGAAGGUCUUCGGAUUGUAAAGCACUUUAAGUUGGGAGGAAGGGCAGUAAGUUAAUACCUUGCUGUUUUGACGUUACCGACAGAAUAAGCACCGGCUAACUUCGUGCCAGCAGCCGCGGUAAUACGAAGGGUGCAAGCGUUAAUCGGAAUUACUGGGCGAAAAGCGCGCGUAGGUGGUUCAGUAAGUUGGAUGUGAAA